rnacentral:lncRNA from 1 species
UUUGACACCAUUUGUUAUUUUCCUCCCUAUUGCUCAUUCUGUUCCAGGCCCACUGGCCCCUUUGCAAUUGGGGUGCUAAUACAGCUGUGCUUUUUGGUCUAAAUCCCCUAGAUGAGAGAUGCAACAAAAGUGCAAGCUAGGAAUUUGGUUUCCUCAGAUGAAUGACUCCAAAGUCUCGGGACAUUUCAAACCAAGACCUAGAUUAUACACAUUUCAGGCAACAUUUACUCUUGGGCAUCUCUGAGUAAUUUCUUUGUGGCUACUAAUUAUUACGUUGAACAGUAUUAUUACAAUGUUAAAAGCAUCUGAUGCCUCAUGAAAUUACUUUAACAACAGGAUUUAUUAUAUAAUUAUUCUGCCAUCAAUAUUGUUGGAUUCCUUGGAUUGUUGUUGA